UUAAUUAAAAAUUACAUAAAUUUUAAGAUAAAAUAAAAAUUAAUAAAAAUAUUUUUAAAAAAUUAAAGUUUUUUAUUUUUAAUAAUUUAAAUAAUUUAAGUAAUAGUAAAUUAGUAUAGUAAUAGAAAUUUUUGGACGUAUAUAAUAUAUUUAAAGUAAAAUUUAUUUUUUGUACCUUUUGUAUCAGGGUUUAUUAAAAAUAAUUUAAUAAUUUAAAUUUCUCGAAUUUUAAAGAUUUAAUUUAAUAUAAAAAAUAUUGUUGAAAAAUUAUAUUUAAUAUUAAAUUGGUAACGAAAUAUUAUUCGAUUUAAAAGAUAUCUAGUUUUUUAAGAAAUGAAUUUAAUUCAGUAAUUUAUUUAUAUUAAUUAAUUUAAUUUAAUUAAUAUAAUAAAAUUGUAAAAUUUUAAGGGAUUAGCUUUAAAAUUAUUUUAUAAAUAAAAUAAAUAUAUUUAAAUUAAAUAGGAUUAGAAAUUUUUAUUUAAAAUUAAAAUGUUAUAAUUAAUUUAUAUAAAAAAUUAAUUUAUUAAAAUAUUUUAAAUAUUUAUUAAAAUAUUAUAUAAAAUUAUAUAUAUUAGUAAUAAUGAUAAAAUUAGUAUUAUUUAUUUUAAAAAUAAAAAAUAAAUUUAGAUUAAAAUAAGGAAUUCAGCAAUAUAAUAUUCGCCUGUUUAACAAAAACAUGUCUUUUUGAUAAUAAUUUAAAGUCUGACCUGCCCACUGAUUUUAAAUUAAAGGGCCGCAGUAUUUUGACUGUGCAAAGGUAGCAUAAUCAUUUGUCUUUUAAUUAAAGGCUAGAAUGAAUGGUUGGACGUAAUAUUAACUGUCUCAUUUUAAAAAAAAUAAAAAUUUAGUUUUUUAGUUAAAAAGCUAAAAUAAAUUUAAAAGACGAGAAGACCCUAUAGAUCUUUAUAAUUUAUAUUAUGAUUUUUAGUUAGAAUUUUAUUAUUAUAAUUAUAAUAUUAAUUAUUUUAUUGGGGUGAUAAAAAAAUUAAAUUAACUUUUUUUAAAAAAUAUAAACAAAAAUGAUUGAAUAUAUUUGAUCCAUAAGUUAUGAUUAAAAGAAUAAGAUACCUUAGGGAUAACAGCGUAAUUUUUUUAGAGAGUUCUUAUCGAUAAAAAAGAUUGCGACCUCGAUGUUGAAUUAAAAGAAUUUUUAGAUGUAGCAGUUUAAAGAAAUAGGUCUGUUCGACCUUUAAAAUUUUACAUGAUUUGAGUUCAGACCGGCGUAAGCCAGGUCGGUUUCUAUCUUUAAAUAAUUAAAAUAUUUUAGUACGAAAGGACCAAAUAUUAAAAAUAAUUUUUUUAUUAAAUGAAUAAUAUUAAUAU
rnacentral:rRNA from 1 species